UAAUCGAAUAGCGGUUCGGGUGCUUGCGGCGGAUGGAAGCUUGCAAGUUAAAAGGGAAGCCGGUGCGAAUCCGGCGCGGUCCCGCCACUGUGAACAGGCGAAUGCUCUCCGGUAAGCCACUGCUUGAUGUAAAGCGGGAAGGCGGGAGGGCUCCGGAAGGAAGCCUGUAAGCCAGGAAACCUGCCCGAACGGCAAGCGAAGC
rnacentral:ncRNA from 2 species